rnacentral:rRNA from 1 species
UUAUAUGAGAGUUUGAUCCUGGCUCAGGACGAACGCUGGCGGCGUGCCUAAUACAUGCAAGUCGAACGCUUUUUCUUUCACCGGAGCUUGCUCCACCGAAAGAAAAGGAGUGGCGAACGGGUGAGUAACACGUGGGUAACCUGCCCAUCAGAAGGGGAUAACACUUGGAAACAGGUGCUAAUACCGUAUAACAAUCGAAACCGCAUGGUUUCGGUUUGAAAGGCGCUUUUGCGUCACUGAUGGAUGGACCCGCGGUGCAUUAGCUAGUUGGUGAGGUAACGGCUCACCAAGGCAACGAUGCAUAGCCGACC